GACGAAGGAUGCAAGCGUUAUCCGGAUUCAUUGGGUUUAAAGGGAGCGUAGGCGGCCUUAUAAGUCAGUGGUGAAAUCUUUGGGCUUAACCCAAAAAUUGCCAUUGAUACUGUAGGGCUUGAGUACAGUUGCUGUGGGCGGAAUAUGACAUGUAGUGGUGAAAUACAUAGAGAUGUCAUAGAACACCAAUUGCGAAGGCAGCUUACUACCCGAAUAUUGACACUGAGGCACGAAAGCGUGGGGAUCAAACAGG
rnacentral:rRNA from 1 species